GGGGAGAAUUGGGGGAAUGAGGCCCUGAGAGCCUGAGAAAUAGGGAUUUUCUCUCCCCUGCUAAGGGAGUAUACCGGUGACGGUAUCGUGGGUUCGAAUCCCAUCCUCUCCGCCA
rnacentral:tRNA from 1 species